UACGAAGGGGGCUAGCGUUGCUCGGAAUUACUGGGCGUAAAGGGCGCGUAGGCGGGUCGUUUAGUUAGAGGUGAAAGCCCAGGGCUCAACCCUGGAAUUGCCUUUAAUACUGGCGGCCUUGAGUAUGAGAGAGGUGUGUGGAACUCCGAGUGUAGAGGUGAAAUUCGUAGAUAUUCGGAAGAACACCAGUGGCGAAGGCGACACACUGGCUCAUUACUGACGCUGAGGCGCGAAAGCGUGGGGAGCAAACAGG
rnacentral:rRNA from 1 species